AACGAACGCUGGCGGCAGGCUUAACACAUGCAAGUCGAGCGCCCCGCAAGGGGAGCGGCAGACGGGUGAGUAACGCGUGGGAAUCUACCCAUCUCUACGGAAUAACGCAUGGAAACGUGUGCUAAUACCGUAUACGUCCUUCGGGAGAAAGAUUUAUCGGAGAUGGAUGAGCCCGCGUUGGAUUAGCUAGUUGGUGGGGUAAAGGCCUACCAAGGCGACGAUCCAUAGCUGGUCUGAGAGGAUGGUCAGCCACACUGGGACUGAGACACGGCCCAGACUCCUACGGGGGGCAGCAGUGGGGAAUAUUGGACAAUGGGCGCAAGCCUGAUCCAGCCAUGCCGCGUGAGUGAUGAAGGCCCUAGGGUUGUAAAGCUCUUUCACCGGAGAAGAUAAUGACGGUAACCGGAGAAGAAGCCCCGGCUAACUUCGUGCCAGCCGCCGCCGUAACAC
rnacentral:rRNA from 1 species